rnacentral:rRNA from 1 species
AUGACAACAGUGGAUCUCAACAAUCUUGCGUAUGCAGACGAACCAUUCGUCCUAGCCAAUGAUGUGGCACAGGUUUUCUAUGUGAAGGACAUGUCUACCAAGCCAAGAAAAAGAAAAGAUAAGGAAGCGAAUGCAUCGUACGAUGAGCCAAAGCGGCAUAUAGUUCUUUCUGGGAAAAGAAACAUCGUGGGAGUGGAUGACAAGACAGACAAGUCAGAAGAUUAUGAAAAGUUUGAUGAAAUUGCUCCAUUCACAGUGAAUAUUGACCUGAGCAUCCCGUUAAAUGAUGAAGAUUUUCCAUGGUUACGGCGCAAAGGGACACACGCGAAGAAAAAGUUUCACACCCAAAGAUCUGGGAUGUGA